rnacentral:rRNA from 1 species
AUUGAACGCUGGCGGCAUGCUUUACACAUGCAAGUCGAACGGUAACAGGCCGCAAGGUGCUGACGAGUGGCGAACGGGUGAGUAAUGCAUCGGAACGUGCCCAGUCGUGGGGGAUAACGCAGCGAAAGUUGCGCUAAUACCGCAUACGAUCUAUGGAUGAAAGCGGGGGACCGUAAGGCCCCGCGCGAUUGGAGGAGCCGAUGUCAGAUUAGGUAGUUGGUGGGGUAAAGGCUCACCAAGCCGAAGAUCUGUAGCUGGUCUGAGAGGACGACCAGCCACACUGGGACUGAGACACUGCCCAGACUCCUACGGGAGGCAGCAGUGGGGAAUUUUGGACAAUGGGCGCAAGCCUGAUCCAGCAAUGCCGCGUGCAGGAAGAAGGCCUUCGGGUUGUAAACUGCUUUUGUACGGAACGAAACGGUCCUGGUUAAUACCCGGGGCUAAUGACGGUACCGUAAGAAUAAGCACCGGCUAACUACGUGCCAGCCGCCGCCGUAACAC